GUUUUAGCUGUAAAAGAGAGGGGGAAGGAGAAGAAGAGGUAAACUCUAAGCAGCUUGACCAUUAAUACUUUUGAGCAGCAGCAUCUUACAGGCCAGUGAUCAGAAAGAUGCAGAAGACGACAGAGUGGCAGUCUGUAGCAGAGCAUCCAAAGGUCUCACACAGGAGCCCAGCUACUGCUAGCCUGGUGACCUCAAAAGCAAAUGACAUCGUGUCGACCGGAGCUAAGUCUGCAUUCUACUCCCAGCUCUGCCACACACUUGCUAUGUGACCCUUGACACAGGAGUUAAUCUCCCAGUGCCUCUGUUUCCCCCCGUGUGGAGCACUUUGAGAUCUCUGGCUGGAAGGCACUGUAACUGUGAUAUGCCACCACCCUAUGAGGCAAUCCUGUUUCAGCUGCUUCCUUCCCUCCCAACUCACCAUUCAUUACACUAAUCUCCAGCCCAUGCCCAAGACAUGUUCACACUGAAAACAUGGCUGAUAUACAGAAACUUGGAGAGAUGAUUCUGCCUAGACCCUGCUGCAUUUUGGCCAUCUUGAUUCGCAGCCUAGAACUCCCCACACAACUUCAUCCAAUGCCAAUAACUGAAACACACCUGCUCACACACUUCUCGUCUGGCAUCAUAUUUCUGCACAUAGAAUUUAUUCUGCAUCUGAAAUGUGAGUUGUAAAAAAUCACCAGCACUAGAAGGAACUAUAGAAAGAGGAAAAUAGCUGCUGGCAAAGCAUAACCUGCAGGUGUACAUGGGAAGCCUUCUGUAACCACUCCAAUGCAUCUUCAACUGUAACUAAAAGCCAGGAAAGGCUGUGGUCAGAGGAGCUGAUCUCAGAGCUUCGAGUACCUAAAACAUUCCAAUCUGAGCAGUUCACUUACAUUUUUCCAAGGCACUUCAACCUAAACAGCCCAGUGAUGAAUUAUCAACCUCUUAAAUGCAAUCAGAUCACAACACAGAACCAGAGAGGACAGAGGAGAGGGGAGGGAAGGAAAUGAAUCAUUAGUUUCCCACAUCAUCAAAUAAUGUGCUGCAAACUCUCCCUGGCGCCAUAGAUAUUUAUGACAUUCAUUUGGGCCAGUGGAGAACAAAAAACCACAAUGGAAGAACAGCAGAAUGGAGCCUCAAUGUUAAUAAAACUCACAAUUACACUACUUCUGAUACUUUAUGCUGAGUUAUUUUGCAAUGCAAAAUAAUGGAUCCAGAAUAAACCUUAAAGCACAUGCUUCUAUAUUCUGAUCCAUCUUAUUAUUUUAUUUAUAUCAGAGUAAUACUCAAGUCUCAGUUGAAAUUUGGCCCCCAUAAUGUAAAGCAUUGUAUGAUGGAGACGGUGAAGACUCUGUAUUGUGCUAAAAGACAAUCCCAGCCCUGAAGAGUUUACAAUCUAGUGGACAAGACAGAUGAAGGGUGUAGGAAAAGGAUGCAACCUCGAGCCAGAGUGAACUGGGUGAUCUAGCUUUUUAUAUGCUUACCGACACUCUAGCUAAGGGUGCUCAUCAUAGGAGACAUUUAAGUUUUAAUGCCAGUAUCUAUAUCGUUCUUCUGGAACUUGUUUCUGUGCAAAAAUCUUAUUGUGUUUUGAGAGACUUGACAAGGCUAUCAAAAUUUAUCCUACCUGAAACUUGUUAUUUGAUGAUCAAAGUCCUCUAGGUCACAAAUAUCUAAAAAAGAUGCAUAUACAGAAUCAUCAUAAUUUUUUUUUUAAAUCUCCAUUUAUUAGGACCUACAGAAAACAAAAGACUCAUGCUGCCCCUGCUAGCACCAGUUUCCUAACACACACUAUUCCCAGGGCUAAGCUGACGUCAUCGAUGAUGCUGAUGCACAAGCUAAAUGGAUUUGGCCACAAAAGCUGCAAAGACUUUGCUAAAUGCAAGUCAGCCAUGUUAAAUUGAGCUUGGUUCAAAACACAAAGUAAAUCCAAGUUUGUGAAGUUUAAAGGGAUCUUUACAAGGAUCACGUUUUUCAAGCAGCUAUCUAAGAGGGUGUUGCAAACAAUAAAGAGAUUACAGAAAGUAACUGAAGAGCUCUCUAUAAACAGCUGCUCUAUUUUGUCAUGUCUUUGCCAUAUUCAACAGACUCCCCUCAAGGCCCUGUAGGAAUGCUGCUGCAGCAGCUUUCCUUUUGGGGGGUUGCUGGUAGUGGUCUCUACAUUAUGCCCAACCAACGGUCUCCUAACUCAGCCAUUUAUAAUCUACAGGGUUUAUAUGUCCUGCACAUCUGUGGGUGCUGUAUAAAUAACCAAAGGUAUCACUGCAGAGCAACCCGAGGUUCUGGGGCUGCACAUGCUACAAGGCCACAGGGGGAAGGAGGGACUGAGCCUGGGACUCAAACUCAGGUCAUUGUUAUGGUCGUGCCGGGCAUUAAGCACAGACCCACUGGAUCCAGCUCAGUUACGCACAAAUCUCAAGCAAAAUAAGAAAAAUCAGUCACAAUGGCUGACUUUCAUGUUGAAUCCACACAGCGCUGUGACAGUCCCAUAGCUUCAACUCAAAAUCAUACAUCAGUCCCUGGUCCACUCCAAACAUCUGCGAACCUCAUCAAAGCUGGGUGGUGCUUAGACCCAGCUGUGAAAGAAGCUGAAACCUGGUAAAUUUCACACCCUGUUCAGUGCAAGCUGAGAAUAUUUUGCACAGCUGUGCUUACCUACCUCAGUUCAGCGGUCUGUGAAGCAUAACCAGCUCAGACUGGUGAAUAGCUCUGUGGUGAUAAUAAUAAAUAAAUCCCUUGACAAACAGCUAGAUAAGUCCAGUUAGUUGGGCUAUAAUUAGUUGGGCUAUAAUUUAAAUGCAGCAUGAGACACGGAUGAACAAACAAGACAAUUGCAUUUAAGAACACCGGAAUGUGCUGUCAUGUAAACCCAGUUAUGAAAGGCUUGAAUAGCAAAUUAGUGGUCUCCAAGCACUAACCAUAUUAAUGUGAAUGUCUAUAUCAGAAAGUACAUGAAUGCACUGUUCAAAGUCUGAGCAGUUUGAUUUGAUGAUUCUCCUGCGCAUUGGGAAAGCUGAUUGGAAAUGAAAAACGCAUGCACUGAAGGAUGAUUGCCAAGAUUUACCACCAUUCCCAUGGCAAUGGGCUCUUUCAAUCACGCUCCGCUUUCCAAAGCAGAUCAGACACUUCUAAGAGAAAGUCAAAUGGCUCAUUUUACGGCAGGUCUGACCUGAAAGUACAUAACCUUGAUGGGAAACUGGGUUUUUUCAUUUACUGCUUAUUUCUGUAAUUCAAAUUCCCUCGGAUUCUCUCCUCUCCACUCGAAGAACAGGAUAGAUUCCCCCCCUUUGUACAAAGAAGAAGAUUCUGUGUUUUGUUAAGAGUUGAAAGGGAAUAGUGGGUUCAGUAAGUGCCAGAUUGCAUCAGCUUUUAACCUUACAACUACCCAAACUUAUAAACAGCCUCUGGUGGUUGGAAACUUUCAUUGUUAAAAUCAUAGUGAAACAUCUGGAAAUACAGACAGAAAAGCGAUUCCAUCAGUACUGAGAUACUACAGAGGUGGACGGGCACUACAGAAAAACCAAGGACUGAUCAGCAUUUGAUAUAGAACAGUAAUGUAGCUUGAGAGAUGCAAGUCCAGAAGGGCCCAUUGUGAUCACCUAGUCUGAUUUCCUGCAUAACAACGGGCCAGAGUAUUUUACCCAGUGAUUCCUGCAUCAAGCCCCUAUCUUAUGGCUGAGCGAGAGGUUUAAGAAAUACUUCCAAUCUUGAUUUAAAGAUGUCAGGGAUAGGAGAAAGCACCACAUCCCUUGGUAAAUUGCUCCAAUGGUUAAUUAACCUCAUAGUGAAAUAUCUGGAAUUUUAAUUUGUGUAGUCCUUGGACAAUACCUUUCAUACAAAAACGAAGCCGACAGAGAUGACUGGCCUCCAGCAUGUCAUUCUCUGUCUUGAUGCUGCUUGGCUGAAGACAGAACAUGGAGUGCUGGGAUCCUGUAGCAUCAGCAGGCCACACAGCUGUAUUAAAGGCGAGAAUGGCUGCAACGUGUUUCAUGUUAUGGAAAUUCCCUCUGGCCUCCUUAGAUCCAAGCAAGCCACCAAUAUGGCCUGAAACUGAAGGGAAGAUCUAGACCUGAAGCCAACGUUUGCACGAGCCUGUGCAAAGUGAAAGCGCAGAGCUUGGCGAAGUCCUAGCCAUUAACUGACCGUCUCUACAAGGCUGUCAACGUGGCACAAGGGAUUGGCAGACUCCAAUUACUGGCAAAGGGUAUCCUCUGCCCUGCUGGCACGGGAAGUUGGCUACAUUUAUUCUGAGCAAUUUGGCAUUUGUGAUCCACACAGGAAGGCUAAUGAAAGAGAAAGAAAAGGCAGUCACAGUACAAAUAGGUGAACAAUGGCCCCUGAAAGGACCAUCUAUUGUGUUAGGCAUGGUGAAUGGAAAGCCAAAUGUGAGCUAAUCGGAAACCACAGGAAGAUCAGAGGAUGCUGUAGGAGAACGCUGCCUCGGCAACUUUUAAAUGCAGCUUUUCCUGUCUUGAGGAGAAUGACACUGAAAUAACAUGCUUCUUGUUCGGAGAAUUUGAUCAUACAUUUAAAGAGGGGAUUCUUUGCUUCCCAACAGCUGUUGCAAAUCUGAAGGAUCAAGCCAAACCUAACACAGAUGUGGAAUUAAUCUACACUCUUCAGCCUGAAACCAGUUGAUGCUUACAGACUGCUCCUCACUCCCGAUUCACACUGUACUCCUGGAGCUCGGAAAUCGGGACCAGAGUUCAAAUCCUGAGUUUACAUACAAAUCACUUAACGUUUCAGUGCCUCAUUCCCCCAUCUGUCAAACAGAAUGAACACUGCAGAGUGAUAUGAUGCUUCAUUAACUAUUGUUGGGCCAUCAGCUGUAAUACCGAGAGGACUGUUUGAGAAACAUACAGGUAUUGCUCUGCUGGAAAAAAGACUAUGGCUCAGGCAGCUGGAGAACACAGGCUGGCUCCGACUCUGUCCUGUGGAUUGGUUCCAGGAUGUUGAGACAUCCUCAACUGUUCAUGACACUUCAUUCUCCGUCCAUGCUGCAAGAUGAAUGCCCUCCCCACGUCCUCACUCACUCCUAAUGCUAACUCACAGCUUGUACAUUGUGUCCUAAUGGAUUUACAAGUGCACGGGGGCUACCCCGAUGUUGCACGCAGCAGGUGGGGCACUGCAGGCCAACGGCACAUGCCCUCGCCCUGUCAAUUCAAAUCCAGUUAACGCCUGUCCUUCCAAUUCAAGCUUAGCUCAGAAGGGAAGGACUUCUCCCACUUCCUUCACAACUCCCCACUAUCUCCUUGUGUAGCUGAACCUCCUUAAUCCAAAUAGAAUGGGGGGCAUGACAUUUAUCUAGGUAGAAAGGGGGACUUUUCAAAGCAAAUUAUGCCUGCUGGAGGACUGACUUUAGGAAAGACAGAGUGCUGAAUACAUGGGUUUGGAUACAUUAGUUUUUACUGUGUUGCUAGUUAUUUCUCUCUGAAAAACAAUGAAAACUAAUUGCAAAAAAAACAAAGUACAAGAGACAGAGAUUUCCUCCUAGAGCAUUAAUAAACAGAGGAGGAGGCACUUGGACCUGUAAAGUGCAAUAUACAAGAUCAAUGUAAAUGAUUCAUAGAUUCUAAGGCCAGAAGGGAAAAGGGUGAUCAUCUAGUCUGACUUCCUGUAUAGCACAGGCCACAGAACCUUCCCAAAAUAAUCCUAGAGCAGAUCUUUUAGAAAAACAUCCAAUCUUGAUUUUAAACUUGCCAGAUAUGGUGGAUCCACCAUAGAUCUUGGUAAAUUGUUCCAAUGGUUAAUUAUCUUCACUGCUAAAAACUGUGUCUUAUUUGCACUCUAAAUUCGUCUAGCUUCAACUUUCAACCAUUGGACUGUUUUAGACCUCCCUCUGCUAGACUAAAAAGCCCAUUAUUAAAUAUUUGUUCCCUAUGCAGGUACUUACAGACUGUGAUCAAGUCAUCCCUUAAUCUUCUCUUUGUUAAAAUAAAUAUAUUGAGCUCCUUUAGUCUCUCUCUAUAAGGCAUGUUAUCAAAUCCUUUUCUCACUUUUGUGGCUCAUCUAUGAACCCUCUCCAAUUUAUCAACUUCCUCCCUGAAUUGUGGACACCAGAACUGGACACAGUAUUCCAGCAAUGGUCACACCAGUGACAAAUCCAGAGAUAAAAUAACCUCUCUAUUCCCGCUCAAGAUUCUCUUUUAUGCAUCCAAGGAUCACAUUAGUCCUGUGACCAUUGCAUUGCACGGGGAGCUCAUGUUCAGCUGAUUUUCCAUUACAACCCCCAAAUUCUUUCCAGAGUCCCUCAUCCUGUAAGCAUGGCCUACAGUCAUACUUUUACAUUUAGCCAUAUUAAAAACGCAUACUGGUUACUUACACUUAGCAAGCGAUCCAAAUCGCUCUGUAUCAGUGACUUGUCCUCUUCAUUAUCAGCCACUCCCCUAAUUUCUGUGUCAGAUGCAAACUUGACCAGUGAUGAUUUCAUGUUGUCUUCCAGGUCAUUGAUAAAAAUGCUAAAUAGAAAAGGGCUGAGAACCGAUCCCUGCAGGACCCCACUAGAAAUACAUCCGAGGAGGAGUCCAUUGAUGAUGAUCAAGAUGUUCCUGUUGCUGUUGUGUAUGGAGCACUGAGCAGCUACAGGUACCAUCUGUGUGGCAUGGUGGGUCUCUCUCUCCCUCCCCCUCCACAACCCUUGAGAAGACAUGGGCGAGCUGAAAUCAACACUGUAAACAGUCUCUUAUUCCACACAGGAAUUACAAUCAAAUAAUGCGUGCCUCAGCAGCUCCUGCUGGGAGCUUCCUUUCCAGCGCCAUGUUCCAGUGUCAGACUUUGUUCCACCAAUGUGGCUUUGUCAGCUAAAAAAUGCUAAACAAAAUAAAUAAAAA